ACUCACCACAGAAAGCGCUUCCUGCCACACAGAACCAGACGGUCACGAUCCAUGAAGCUCAGUUUUUCCAGAACAGGUUUGAAGGGUGUCGGUGUUUGGAACAUGCUGUCAGCUUUCAUCUCAGCUGUUCGAUCCGUUACUUCAUCACUUCAUCGCCUGCCACAGAAGAAUCUGAACCAGGAUCCAGACAACUGGAUCCUCUCACCAGACCUCCAGGUCCAAACUCUGCUAAGUAACAUUUUCAUACCAUCUUGUGUGGCUCAUAAAUUACCAUUCAUGAAAUUGAAAUGAAUGUUUUCAAUUCAACAUGUUAGGUCUUAUUGGAGGUCCGCCAUCUUUGAUUUCAAAAUGGACGCCAUUUUUAUUCCAAUUCUGUUUCUCAGUAUAUUUGAAAUUGACCAAAACCUCAGAAAGGUCAUGAACUCUGGGAAACUAUCAGAGGUUUUCCUGAUGAGGCUCAGGAAAAGUUUUCGGUUUCCUGCAUGAAAUGAAAAAUAACUCGAAGCAUAAAACCGUUUUCUGUCUGUUUUUCUGAGGACAACUGUUGUGUUUUGAAAGCUUGUACUGUUAUCGCCAUGGAAACUAUCUCUGGCAGGUUACAGGAAGUGAUGUAAGUCAGACUUUUCUGAAUAAAUAAAACUUGAAGAUUGAUUUUGAUAAUUAAAUCGGCUGUUUUUAGAC